rnacentral:rRNA from 1 species
UACGGAGGGGGCUAGCGUUGUUCGGAAUUACUGGGCGUAAAGCGCACGUAGGCGGACUGUUAAGUCGGGGGUGAAAUCCUGGGGCUCAACCUCAGAAUUGCCUCCGAUACUGGCAGUCUCGAGUGCGGGAGAGGUGAGUGGAAUUCCCAGUGUAGAGGUGAAAUUCGUAGAUAUCAGGAAGAACACCGAUGGCGAAAGCAGCUCUCUGGGACGGUACUGACGCUGAGGCGCGAAAGCGUGGGGAGCGAACAGG